AUCAGCUUUUUGAGUGUGAUUAUGUGGAUUGUGAGGAGUUUAAUCACCCUCAUAUUUUACGUAUUCGUGCUCUUUGGUGUACUUGCCCGUGUGGUAGGUUAACAUCAAUUUUGGUCGUCAUAAAAUGACUGGAGGAAUGUAGCUUUGGUCUCGUAUCGAAGUGUUAUAGACUCUGGUAGAUGUGACGAUUGGGAUUGAGGAUUGCAACGGAUACCCUUCGGGGCUACUCGUCUGAUCUCUGAAGGUUGCUCCGGUGCCGAAAGCGUGCUUACGGUCAUCGAAAGUGAUUUUCAAAAGGUUAGAACGGGUUAAAUUCGUUAAGGAUGUUGACGUAAUGGCUUU
rnacentral:rRNA from 1 species